CGAGGAAGUUACAAGGGCGAACGGAGGAUGCCUUGGCUUCCGGUGGCGAAGAAGGGCGCAGCAAGCUGCGAAAAGGCGCGGGGAUCCGCAAGCAGGAGUCGAUCCGCGCAUACCCGAAUGGGGCAACCUGCACGGCUGAAGGCCGUGCGCAUAAGCGCAAACGCAGGGAACUGAAACAUCUUAGUACCUGCAGGAGAAGAAAGAAAAAUCGAUUCCCCGAGUAGUGGCGAGCGAAAGGGGAGGAGCCCAAACCGGGUGCGUUACGGCGCGUCCGGGGUAGUAGGGUCCGCGUUAAAUAGGAGACGAUAGAAGCGGAACAUUCUGGAAAGGAUGUCCACAGAGGGUGAAAGGCCCGUACGCGUAGUUAUUGUUUCUUAUAGUUGGAUACCUGAGUAGGGCGGGGCACGAGGAACCCUGUCCGAAUCCGCGGGGACCAUCCCGCAAGGCUAAAUACAACCGGAAGACCGAUAGUGAACCAGUACCGUGAGGGAAAGGUGAAAAG
rnacentral:rRNA from 1 species